rnacentral:rRNA from 1 species
CCUCGGGUCGCACCAGUGGGGAAUAUUGCACAAUGGGCGCAAGCCUGAUGCAGCCAUGCCGCGUGUAUGAAGAAGGCCUUCGGGUUGUAAAGUACUUUCAGCGGGGAGGAAGGGAGUAAAGUUAAUACCUUUGCUCAUUGACGUUACCCGCAGAAGAAGCACCGGCUAACUCCGUGCCAGCAGCCGCGGUAAUACGGAGGGUGCAAGCGUUAAUCGGAAUUACUGGGCGUAAAGCGCACGCAGUAGGUUUGUUAAGUCAGAUGUGAAAUCCCCGGGCUCAACCUGGGAACUGCAUCUGAUACUGGCAAGCUUGAGUCUCGUAGAGGGGGGUAGAAUUCCAGGUGUAGCGGUGAAAUGCGUAGAGAUCUGGAGGAAUACCGGUGGCGAAGGCGGUCCCCUGGACGAAGACUGACGCUCAGGUGCGAAAGCGUGGGGAGCAAACAGGAUUAGAUACCCCCGUAGUC